rnacentral:rRNA from 1 species
UACGUAGGCAGCGAGCGUUGUUCGGAAUUACUGGGCGUAAAGAGUGUGUAGGCGGUGUUCCCAGUCUGUUGUGAAAUCUCCCGGCUUAACUGGGGAGGGUGCAGCGGAAACUAGAAUGCUAGAGGGUGGGAGAGGUAAGCGGAAUUCCUGGUGUAGCGGUGAAAUGCGUAGAUAUCAGGAGGAACACCUGUGGUGUAGACAGCUUACUGGACCACUUCUGACGCUGAGACACGAAAGCGUGGGUAGCAAACAGG